rnacentral:rRNA from 1 species
ACGGGUGAGUAACGCGUGGGGAUCUGCCCCAAAGAGGGGGAUAACCCGAGGAAACUCGGGCUAAUACCGCAUAAACUGGAGACAGCAAAGUGUGCCACUGACAUAAGCACACGCUUUGGGAUGAACCUGCGUCCGAUUAGCUAGUUGGUGAGGUAACGGCUUACCAAGGCAGAGAUCGGUAGCUGGUCUGAGAGGAUGAUCAGCCACACUGGGACUGAGACACGGCCCAGACUCCUACGGGAGGCAGCAGUGGGGAAUAUUGGACAAUGGGGGCAACCCUGAUCCAGCAAUGCCGCGUGUGUGAAGAAGGCCUGAGGGUUGUAAAGCACUUUCGUUGGGGAGGAGAGGUUCAUCUGGAUAAGAGAAGAACUGAGACGUUACCCAAAGAAGAAGCACCGGCUAACUCUGUGCCAGCAGCCGCGGUAAUACAGAGGGUGCAAGCGUUAAUCGGAAUUACUGGGCGUAAAGAGCACGUAGGUGGUGGUUCAAGUUGGAUGUGAAAGCCCCGGGCUUAACCUGGGAAGGUCAUCCAAGACUGAGCGACUAGAGUAUAGUAGAGGGAAGUGGAAUUUCCGGUGU